GGCCGCCGGGUCGGGGCCGGCGCCCGCCCUGAGGGGAGCGCGGCGGCAGCAGGCAGUGGCUGUGGGCUCCAGGACGGCUGUUGGUGUCUCUUCACAGAUCUGGAUAGUAACCUCUGACCUCUGUGAACAGCACUUCUGGACCUGCUGAUAGCCUCUGCUACUCAGCCUUACCUAGUGCAAUGUCAGGUGAGCAGACAAAAAUGGACUCAGUAUCUGCUUGUUUGGUUGGUUGCUUGCUUUUUCUUCAGCAGAAACUUCAUAAAACAAAGUUCCUGGUUCCAAGAACCAUUCUUUACAUUAACAUAGUAUCUGGUCAAAUUGGGAGCAAGGAAACCACCCCAAU